AGUGAACGCUGGCGGUAGGCCUAACACAUGCAAGUCGAACGGCAGCACAGUAAGAGCUUGCUCUUACGGGUGGCGAGUGGCGGACGGGUGAGGAAUACAUCGGAAUCUACUUUUUCGUGGGGGAUAACGUAGGGAAACUUACGCUAAUACCGCAUACGACCUACGGGUGAAAGCAGGGGAUCUUCGGACCUUGCGCGAUUGAAUGAGCCGAUGUCGGAUUAGCUAGUUGGCGGGGUAAAGGCCCACCAAGGCGACGAUCCGUAGCUGGUCUGAGAGGAUGAUCAGCCACACUGGAACUGAGACACGGUCCAGACUCCUACAGGAGGCAGCAGUGGGGAAUAUUGGACAAUGGGCGCAAGCCUGAUCCAGCCAUACCGCGUGGGUGAAGAAGGCCUUCGGGUUGUAAAGCCCUUUUGUUGGGAAAGAAAAGCAGCAGGUUAAUACCCCGCUGUUCUGACGGUACCCAAAGAAUAAGCACCGGCUAACUUCGU
rnacentral:rRNA from 1 species